UACAUGGGGUGCAAACGUUGCUCGGAAUUAUUGGGCGUAAAGCGCGCGUAGGCGGUUACUUAAGUCGGAUGUGAAAGCCCUCGGCUUAACUGAGGAAGUGCACCCGAAACUGAGUAGCUAGAGUACGAAAGAGGGUCGCGGAAUUCCCGGUGUAGAGGUGAAAUUCGUAGAUAUUCGCAAGAACACCAGUGGCGAAGGCGGCUCACUGGCCCGGUACUGACGCUGAGGUGCGAAAGCGUGGGGAGCAAACAGG
rnacentral:rRNA from 1 species